CCUACGGGAGGCAGCAGUAAGGAAUAUUGGUCAAUGGACGCAAGUCUGAACCAGCCAUGCCGCGUGCAGGAUGACGGCCCUCUGGGUUGUAAACUGCUUUUAUACGGGAAGAAACCUCUGGUUGCGAUCAGAGCUGACGGUACCGUAAGAAUAAGGACCGGCUAACUUCGUGCCAGCAGCCGCGGUAAUACGAAGGGUCCAAGCGUUAUCCGGAUUUAUUGGGUUUAAAGGGUGCGUAGGCGGCUUAUUAAGUCAGUGGUGAAAGACUUCAGCUUAACUGAAGAACUGCCAUUGAUACUGAUGAGCUUGAAUAUACUUGAGGUGGGCGGAAUGUGUCAUGUAGCGGUGAAAUGCUUAGAUAUGACACAGAACACCGAUUGCGAAGGCAGCUCGCUAAAGUAUGAUUGACGCUGAUGCACGAAAGCGUGGGGAGCAAACAGGAUUAGAUACCCUGGUAGUCCACGCCCUAAACGUUGAUAACUCGAUGUGUGCGAUAUACAGUACGCGUCCAAGCGAAAGCAUUAAGUUAUCCACCUGGGAAGUACGGUCGCAAGAUUGAAACUCAAAUGAAUUGACGGCUUGAGGACGNGCGAGGACGACACGAGGGAGGAGG
rnacentral:rRNA from 1 species